rnacentral:rRNA from 1 species
AUUGAACGCUGGCGGCAGGCUUAACACAUGCACGUCGAGCGAGCGGCGGACGGGUGAGUAAUGUCUGGGAAACUGCCGGAUGGAGGGGGAUAACUACUGGAAACGGUAGCUAAUACCGCAUACCCUCAGAUGUGCCCAGAUGGGAUUAGCUAGUAGGUGGGGUAAUGGCUCACCUAGGCGACGAUCCCUAGCUGGUAUGAGAGGAUGACCAGCCACACUGGAACUUAGACCCGGGCCAGACUGCUACGGGAGGCAGCGGUGGGGAAUAGUGCAAAAUGGGAGCAAGCCUGAUGCAGCCAUGCCGCGUGUGUGAAGAAGGCCUUCGGGUUGUAAAGCACGUUCAGCGAGGAGGCGUUACUCGCAGAAGAAGCACAGGCUAACUCCGUGCCAGCAGCCGCGGUAAUUC